rnacentral:rRNA from 1 species
GAUGAACGCUGGCGGCGUGCCUAAUACAUGCAAGUCGAGCGAACAGACGAGGAGCUUGCUCCUCUGACGUUAGCGGCGGACGGGUGAGUAACACGUGGAUAACCUACCUAUAAGACUGGGAUAACUUCGGGAAACCGGAGCUAAUACCGGAUAAUAUAUUGAACCGCAUGGUUCAAUAGUGAAAGACGGUUUUGCUGUCACUUAUAGAUGGAUCCGCGCCGCAUUAGCUAGUUGGUAAGGUAACGGCUUACCAAGGCAACGAUGCGUAGCCGACCUGAGAGGGUGAUCGGCCACACUGGAACUGGGACACGGUCCAGACUCCUACGGGAGGCAGCAGUAGGGAAUCGUCCGCAAUGGGCGAAAGCCUGACGGAGCAACGCCGCGUGAGUGAUGAAGGUCUUCGGAUCGUAAAACUCUGUUAUUAGGGAAGAACAAAUGUGUAAGUAACUAUGCACGUCUUGACGGUACCUAAUCAGAAAGCCACGGCUAACUACGUG